rnacentral:misc_RNA from 1 species
UCGCAAUAUUUGACAUCUGAAUCUGAUAUGUAAUCUCAGCAGGUUUCAAUCAAAUUCGUCCACGUAUCAUAGGAUUCUAGAUUCCACCUACAAAUUCCAAUAACCCUGUACAAACCCAGAAUGGAGGUACAGAGAUUCCAUUUUGUAUUCUUACAUGCCGAGUGACAAUCUACCUUUAUUUUUUGCCCCCCAAUUGAAACUCUGAAAAAGAGUAGAAAUUCUAAGCGGAAACAUACAUUAAAUCCAAUCGCUCAACAACUGUUUGAUUCACAGUUCNUUCCAAUUAUCGCAAGACAAUAACUUAGUAACCUGUACAAUUCACCCAGAAAUGUACGAAGCCAAAGUCUAUUAGAAGAGGCUUCAAACCAUCAUGAAUAAGUGCUUCGUCAGUCUUCCUCUGC